rnacentral:rRNA from 1 species
GAUGAACGCUAGCUACAGGCUUAACACAUGCAAGUCGAGGGGGCAGCGCAGUGUAGCAAUACAUGGGCGGCGACCGGCGCACGGGUGCGUAACGCGUAUCCAACCUUCCCGUUACUCAGGGAUAGCCUUCCGAAAGGGAGAUUAAUACCUGAUGGUGUUCAAAUUCCGCAUGUUAUUUGAACUAAAGAUUUAUCGGUAACGGAUGGGGAUGCGUGACAUUAGGUAGAUGGCGGGGUAACGGCCCACCAUGCCUACGAUGUCUAGGGGUUCUGAGAGGAAGGUCCCCCACACUGGAACUGAGACACGGUCCAGACUCCUACGGGAGGCAGCAGUGAGGAAUAUUGGUCAAUGGUCUGACGACUGAACCAGCCAUGCCGCGUGAAGGUCACGGCCCUAUGGGUCUUAAACUUCUUUUGCGAGGGAGCAAUAAGGCGCACGUGUGCGUCGAUGAGAGUACCUCGCGAAUAAGCAUCGGCUAACUCCGUGCCAG